AAAAAAAAUUAAUAAGCUAAUCUUUUAUUUAUUUUUUAUAUAGGAGGAAAAAGGCACCAAAAAAAGAAAGAAAGAAGAAUUCUGUUACCAAAUCCAAGUUAAGACAAUAGGCUAAGCUGAUAUUGAAAAAGCUGAAGCUAGAAAAGUGGAGCAAAGCCUGCUCAUCCAUAAAAUUAGAGAGUAGAACUGUUGGCAACCCGAAAAUAGGCAAACGCCGGAGUAGAAUGUUUUUUUAUACAAACACACAUUGAAUCGACCCUACAAGGAUUAGCAAAUGGUUAGAGCUUCAUGAACAUGGAGUGUGUUUAAUAAUAGUCGAGUACUAACAAAAUUUCUUAGACUAUAUACUCAAUAGUUCAAAGUUGUUAAUUAAUCAUUAUGUUGUUGCACAUUGUGUCAUCCGAGAAAAUCAAACAAAGUUGCUGCAGUGCUAGAUUAUGAUUACGCAGGACCUAACACCAGGCAUGAUCCAAGAAGAAAGAAAGGCAACCAUAAAGUGAUUACACCAAUAGUGCAGUUGUUGUCGCUGAAAUGAUCCGUAGAGUGCAUCCGCCAAGAUUUUGAUUGAUCUCUUAACCAGUCAGUUUACAGAGCUGCUGCAUUCUCAAACCUCUAGUCCUAUAGUUGGAAAAUCUAUGUUCUUUCCUAGUUCAUAUAUAUAUAUAUAUCCAACUGCUGCAGAAUUUGAACUGCCUAAGGGGAUAGCACCCCAUAUUCUAAGUGAAUGUGAAUAAACCUCGUCUGCCUGGUCAAAAGUUUUGUUCAUCCAUAGCCUGUUUACAGGUCAAAACCAAUAGUUAACCUCAACCGUAUCAGAAAAGGUAUACAUAAUAGCAAAAUGGAGACCACAAACUAAUAGUAAAUAAAGCUUACAAAAAGGCUGAGGACCACAGGAUUUUAUGCACUAAGUUGAGUCAAAUGAAAUUUUUUUAGAACUAAGGAUUGUAGGGCUUAACCCCGAAGGGAGCCCUUCCAAAAAUUCUCAACGGCCAGGGGCGAACCCAGGCCGAAGAGGGGGUUUGGAAAUAGUUUUCAACCAGCAAUAGACGCGCCUCGGUUAGAACCUCACUAGCUGCGUCAUUGCCCCAAGCGCAAAGAUGUUUUGAAUCGUUGCCCAGCUUCUGGUUUUAUAAGACUCAUGUCUCUCUUCU
rnacentral:lncRNA from 1 species